AUAUUAAUAUAUUUCCUCCAUUAAACCGCCAUUUCUAGUCAGUAUAACCGAUUCUCACAAAAUUUCAACAGCUCUCUCCCGACUUUCCAAUCUCCUUUCUUUUUGUUUCAAGUAUUCGUAUUUGCUUUGUUUUGUUUGUUUAUUUUAUAUAUAUUUUUUUUUUGGCUCCUGCUUCUGCUGAGCGCGAGAAAAAAUUAUGAUUUCUUUGUGCCAAAAGGGAUUAAAUUUACGCUCGUUUGUCCUGUUUAUGAUGAGUGCUGUUCGCUGUUGGCGUUCCUAUAUAUAAGCACUGACAUGAAUCACUGGAUGGCAGGCAGACAUCGCAACCCAGAAGGAAAACCCAAAAAUACCAGAAAAAAAAAGAAUAUAUAACCAACCAACCAACGUCGCCAUCGCAUUUAAAAUAUUUUGUGAAAUUAUUAUGAAAAUGCGUAAAGGGAUUUAAUAAAUAACUGUAACUGCUCCUUA